GGUUUCGUGGCCCAAUUGGCAAGGCGUCUGACUACGAAUCAGGAGAUUCUGGGUUCGAGCCCCAGCGAGAUCA
rnacentral:tRNA from 1 species